GACCCGUAGAAGCAGACCCCCGCGCUGUAGGCGCCGCCGCCGCCGCCGCCGUCGCCGCCGCCGCCGCCGCCAUGAGGGAGAUCCUGCACAUCCAGGGGGGCCAAUGCGGGAACCAGAUCGGGGCCAAGUUCUGGGAAGUGAUCUGCGACGAGCACGGCAUCGACCACACCGGAAAGUACUCUGGCGACGCCGACCUCCAGUUGGAGCGGAUCAACGUCUACUACAACGAGGCGAGCGGCGGCCGGUAUGUGCCGAGGGCGGUGCUCAUGGAUCUCGAGCCGGGGACGAUGGACUCGCUGCGGUCGGGGCCGUUCGGGCAGAUCUUCCGGCCGGAUAAUUUUGUGUUCGGCCAGUCGGGGGCGGGCAAUAACUGGGCGAAGGGGCACUAUACUGAAGGCGCGGAGCUGAUUGAUUCGGUUCUUGAUGUUGUGCGCAAGGAGGCCGAGAAUUGUGAUUGUCUUCAAGGAUU
rnacentral:misc_RNA from 1 species